rnacentral:rRNA from 1 species
AUUGAACGCUGGCGGCAGGCCUAACACAUGCAAGUCGAACGAGUGGCGGACGGGUGAGUAAUGUCUGGGAAACUGCCUGAUGGAGGGGGAUAACUACUGGAAACGGUAGCUAAUACCGCAUACCAUCAGAUGUGCCCAGAUGGGAUUAGCUUGUUGGUGGGGUAACGGCUCACCAAGGCGACGAUCCCUAGCUGGUCUGAGAGGAUGACCAGCAACACGGGAACGGGAAACCGACCCAGACUCCUACGGGAGCAGGCAGUGGGGAAUAUUGAACAAUGGGCGCAGGCCGGAUGCAGCCAGGCCGCGUGUAUAAAGAAGGCUUUCGGGUUGGAAAGUACUUUAAGAGGGGAGGCGUUACCCGAAGAAGAAGCACCGGCUAACUCCGUGCCAGCAGCCGCGGUAAUUC